rnacentral:rRNA from 1 species
CAGCAGCCACGGGAAUACGUAGGUGGCAAGCGUUAUCCGGAAUUAUUGGGCGUAAAGCGCGCGUAGGCGGUUUUUUAAGUCUGAUGUGAAAGCCCACGGCUCAACCGUGGAGGGUCAUUGGAAACUGGAAAACUUGAGUGCAGAAGAGGAAAGUGGAAUUCCAUGUGUAGCGGUGAAAUGCGCAGAGAUAUGGAGGAACACCAGUGGCGAAGGCGACUUUCUGGUCUGUAACUGACGCUGAUGUGCGAAAGCGUGGGGAUCAAACAGGAUUAGAGACCCCCGUAGUCCCUGUCUCUUAUAC